rnacentral:rRNA from 1 species
AAUGCGUAGGAACCUGCCCUGUAGUGGGGGAUAGCCCGAAGAAAUUCGGAUUAAUACCGCAUGUGAUCUACGGAUCAAAGCGGGCCUCUACUUGUAAGCUCGCGCUAUGGGAUGGGCCUACGUCGGAUUAGCUUGUUGGUGAGGUAAAGGCUCACCAAGGCGACGAUCCGUAGCUGGUCUGAGAGGAUGAUCAGCCACACUGGGACUGAGACACGGCCCAG